CUUAAAAUUUGAAUCAUCAGUGAACCAGAGGAGGAAAGAAUGAUGAAAUCCUCAAGAGUUUUAUUAGUGAUCCUGUGGCUUCAGUUGAUCUAAUUGGUCUUCCUGAAGCCUGAGAUUACCUGCAGUAUCAUAUUUGGCCUCUAGAGGGAGAUGCUACACAACUUGAACUCGAUAGAAAGCCAGAAAGCCACCAGCCCUUUGAGGAAGAGCUUUUACUUUGCAUGCCCUGUAAACCACUCACUGCUCUGUCAGGGUGUCCAUGUGGCUGAACUGUCUCCAGGAAAAACCUGCAGAAAGGAGCCUCCUGCUUCCUCAGAGCUCAGACAUGAAGCACACCCUCAUCUCAGUGCUUGUGGUGAUAUUCACACUUGGAGGAACAAGAGCCCAGACAGUGACUCAGCCUGAGAGCCACACCUAUGUGUCUGAAGGGGCCCCAGUGCAGGUGAAGUGCAACUAUUCCUAUUCUGGGAGUCCUGUGCUCUUCUGGUAUGUCCAGUACCCCAGACAGCGCCUCCAGUUACUCCUGAAACACACCUCAAGAGACAGCAUCCAGGGUUUCACCGCUGAGCUCAGCCAGACUGAGGCAUCCUUCCAUCUAAAAAAACCCUCGGCUCAGGAGGAAGACUCAGCUGUGUAUUACUGUGCUCUGGGUAACACAGUAGCUGGCUUCACAAGAGAAGCAGAGCACAAACCCCUUACAGAAAGCAUUUCCAUGUUCCCUACUUGACCACCGUGGGGCAUUGUCUCUCUAGAGACUGACUCUGAAUUUACCUCUCAGAUACAGAGUUGUCAUCAGUUGUCAACUAGCUGUAGAAUUGUUUUUAAAGGGAAUUCUCAUUACCUAAUCUGUAUAUGUUAAUUUUUAAAUAGUAAGUAUAUUUAUUUUAGAUAUUAGUACCUGGAAAAAUACUUCUGAAAUAAACCUAUGUAACA